rnacentral:rRNA from 1 species
AUUGAACGCUGGCGGCAGGCCUAACACAUGCAAGUCGAACGAGUGGCGGACGGGUGAGUAAUGUCUGGGAAACUGCCCGAUGGAGGGGGAUAACUACUGGAAACGGUAGCUAAUAACGCAUACCAUCGGAUGUGCCCAGAUGGGAUUAGCUAGUAGGUGGGGUAAAGGCGCACCUAGGCGACGAUCCCUAGCUGGUCUGAGAGGAUGACCAUCAAAACUGGAACGGCGACACGGUCCAGACUCCUAAGGGUGGCAUCAGUGGGGACUAUUGAACAAUGGGCGCAAGCCUGAUGCAGCCAUGCCGCGUGUAUGAAGAAGGCCUUCGGGUUGUAAAGUACUUUCAGCGGGGAGGCGUUACCCGCAGAAGAAGUACCGGCUAACUCCGUGCCAGCAGCCGCGGUAAUUC